GACGAACGCUGGCGGCGUGCUUAACACAUGCAAGUCGAACGGAAAGGCCCUGCUUUUGUGGGGUGCUCGAGUGGCGAACGGGUGAGUAACACGUGAGUAACCUGCCCUUGACUUUGGGAUAACUUCAGGAAACUGGGGCUAAUACCGGAUAGGAGCUCCUGCUGCAUGGUGGGGGUUGGAAAGUUUCGGCGGUUGGGGAUGGACUCGCGGCUUAUCAGCUUGUUGGUGGGGUAGUGGCUUACCAAGGCUUUGACGGGUAGCCGGCCUGAGAGGGUGACCGGCCACAUUGGGACUGAGAUACGGCCCAGACUCCUACGGGAGGCAGCAGUGGGGAAUAUUGCACAAUGGGCGGAAGCCUGAUGCAGCAACGCCGCGUGCGGGAUGACGGCCUUCGGGUUGUAAACCGCUUUCGCCUGUGACGAAGCGUGAGUGACGGUAAUGGGUAAAGAAGCACCGGCUAACUACGUGCCAGCAGCCGCGGUGAUACGUAGGGUGCGAGCGUUGUCCGGAUUUAUUGGGCGUAAAGGGCUCGUAGGUGGUUGAUCGCGUCGGAAGUGUAAUCUUGGGGCUUAACCCUGAGCGUGCUUUCGAUACGGGUUGACUUGAGGAAGGUAGGGGAGAAUGGAAUUCCUGGUGGAGCGGUGGAAUGCGCAGAUAUCAGGAGGAACACCAGUGGCGAAGGCGGUUCUCUGGGCCUUUCCUGACGCUGAGGAGCGAAAGCGUGGGGAGCGAACAGGCUUAGAUACCCUGGUAGUCCACGCUGUAAACGGUGGGUACUAGGUGUGGGGUCCAUUCCACGGGUUCCGUGCCGUAGCUAACGCUUUAAGUACCCCGCCUGGGGAGUACGGCCGCAAGGCUAAAACUCAAAGGAAUUGACGGGGCCCCGCACAAGCGGCGGAGCAUGCGGAUUAAUUCGAUGCAACGCGUAGAACCUUACCUGGGUUUGACAUGGAUCGGGAGUGCUCAGAGAUGGGUGUGCCUCUUUUGGGGUCGGUUCACAGGUGGUGCAUGCCUGUCGUCAGCUCGUAUCGUGAGAUGUUGGGUUAAGUCCCGCGACGAGCGCAACCCUUGUUCACUGUUGCCAGCACGUUAUGGUGGGGACUCAGUGGAGACCGCCGGGGUCAACUCGGAGGAAGGUGGGGAUGACGUCAAGUCCUCAUGCCCCUUAUGUCCAGGGCUUCACGCAUGCUACAAUGGCUGGUACAGAGAGUGGCGAGCCUGUGAGGGUGAGCGAAUCUCGGAAAGCCGGUCUCAGUUCGGAUUGGGGUCUGCAACUCGACCUCAUGAAGUCGGAGUCGCUAGUAAUCGCAGAUCAGCAACGCUGCGGUGAAUACGUUCCCGGG
rnacentral:rRNA from 1 species